rnacentral:rRNA from 1 species
CCUACGGGCGGCAGCAGUCGAGAAUCAUUCACAAUGGGGGAAACCCUGAUGGUGCGACGCCGCGUGGGGGAAUGAAGGUCUUCGGAUUGUAAACCCCUGUCAUGUGGGCGCAAAUUAAAAAGAUAGUACCACACGAGGAAGAGACGGCUAAUUCUGUGCCAGCAGCGACGGUAAUACAGAGGUCUCAAGCGUUGUUCGGAAUCACUGGGCGUAAAGCGUGCGUAGCCUGAUUCGUAAGUAGUGUGUGAAAGGCGCGGGCUCAACUCGCGGACGGCACAUGAUACUGCGAGACUAGAGUAAUGGAGGGGGAACCGGAAUUCUUGGUGUAGCAGUGAAAUGCGUAGAUAUCGAGAAGAACACUCGUGGCGAAGGCGGGUUCCUGGACAUUAACUGACGCUGAGGCACGAAGGCCAGGGGAGCGAAAGGGAUUAGAUACCCUAGUAGUC